UUUGAACCAGCCUCUAUAAGUUCCAGUAAAAUAUUUUUUAUUUUACAUACACGGAUUAAAAGGGAAACCGGUCGAAUUCCGGUACGAUCCCGUCACUGUGAUAGGGAGUUGCGAAACAUAAUCCACUGGAGUGGCAGUCGCCAGUCUGGGAAGGAGUUUUGGAGCAAAGAUCUUAAGUCAGGAGACCUGCUUAUGGAUGAUCAGAUAU
rnacentral:ncRNA from 2 species